CAUUUAAGUACAGAGUCCACACCGGCCUAACCCUAAUCUCUUCUCCUCCCAUGCCAACCAUCAGCCGCCGCCGCCAGUCCACCUUCCCUCCUCGCGUCGCUCCAUGUCGCCGCCUGCGGCGCCGGCUUUGAACCACCAUGCGCCAGGCCCCUCCCAUCGACGAGCCCAUCUGUUCGCCCAUCCGAUGGGGGAGAGAUGUCAUUUUUCAUGAAGGUUGGAUCCAAGUUCCUUGCACAUAGUGGAGUCACCAAGGCCCGUGCCCCUGCCAUGCUCGGUCUGACUGUGGGCGUUCCAUCUUGGGGCUUCAGCAGCAGCCGACGGCCUCCAACUAAUCUUGGGCGCACUAUCGUGCCCCCGAGUUGCGGCGGCCCAGUCCUGCCUCUCAAGUUAAUGCGGCAGUAGUGGCGGCGGUACCGACAGCUAGGUAUUGAACCCCCUGACGUCACCGGCGGCGGGCACAGAUCCAGCUCCAUCCGGUGGUGAGACACACAUGCGCGCUUCUCCUCGGAUGGUCAGUGGCAAGUCUGAGGGGAACACGGACGUGUCCUUCAUGCACAAUGAUGGCACCAGCCGCAUCGAUUUCAUCUAGCAGCUCCUUGCAAUGUACAGUGCAGUGCCUGAUCUAGUACAAAUGCCGUCCCAAUGGAUAUGGGCAUUUACAGCUGAUUUGAGAGCCUUUGGGAUAUGACUACUAUCACUAUCACCAAGAGGAUAGUUUCUAAAAAUGAAGCCAUGUAGGUAUGGUAGAGAAGUGAAUCUAUGACGGUGAUGUCGAUAGUUGGCUGCCAGUGUGACCAACAAAUAUGCUGAGAUAACAGGCAGUUGAUGGAACCGUCGAAGUCGAGCCAGGUAAUAUUAGGUAGCGAGCUACUUGUUGCUACCAUCACAAUUAGCCACGACGCCACAAUCAAGCUGCCAUCAUAAUCAGCCACGACGCCAAGACAUGAUAGUUGCCACAGGAGGACCGAUGGAAAGAACAUGAAUAACAACCUCAAUGCUUUGUAUGUUAUGUUGGAUGUAAAAUGGAUUGUACUGGUUCCUAACCUUGCUGUGUGAUAUAUUGUCAAUCUAUGCUGUAAGUUCUUAUUUCAUAGAGGAUUUUAUAAACUGCUAUGUUGUAUUUACAUACCGAUGGCUGCAAACUGGAUCAACUAUGUAAUGUCCUGACACUUUGCAAAUGCUUCCUCUUGGGCCAAAA